UCAAAGACCAUGGAAAUAUAGAUGGAAGAACAAGACCGUUUUUAAUUAUAAAUUAUAGAUAAUUAUUUGAGUUUUUUGACCAUUUGGUGUUGUUGUAUUUAUAGUUUUUUUGGAACUCCUCCGACGCGUUCUACAUAGUUAAAGGAUUUUUAUGAAUAACAUCAUCAUCGACAUGGAAGAGCCACAAGAGCCACAGCCUCAGGAAGUUAAGAAAACGACAGUACGAACGGUGAACACGGGUCCAAAGGGUGUCAUAGCGGAUUACAUCAUCUACAAAAGAUUUGAAACAGAGUUGAGACGAAGAAUGAAAGACAGUGGUGAAAAUAAACAGGUUGUAUCAGAGAGCGAAGUGAGGAAGUUGUUUUGUGCAACUCAAAUGGCGGAGAAUGAGCAGAUCUACGGUUCUGAAGAGGAGAGCCCUGAUAUUGAAUCCAAUUAAAUGAGAUUAAUUGGAGGAACAUUUUAUAUUUAUCAGUAUAUUUCGAGAAUGACUAAUUCGAUAAAUGGAGCAUCCCCUGUCACAUUGGGGGUAUGGCCCGUGCAUUCUUAUUUCCAAGGCAAAAGAAACUACAACAACAACAGAGAACCAUGAAUUUUUCUAAAAUAAUAAUAUAUCUUUCCUACCCAUGAAAAUAAUUACUUCAUUAUCCUCAUUUAGAGUAAGCAUUCAUGUCUACUAUAUAUUUUUAUUUUGAAUGUAUCUAUUACUUACUUCUUGAAAUGCAUAUCUUUGUAUUUAAUUUCUGAAAAAUAGAGAAAAAAACCAAGGAGAUAAUAAAUCUUUAUGUGGAAAA
rnacentral:lncRNA from 1 species